CAGAAGGGUGCUUCUCAGGCAAAACUCCCAACAGAGGGAGCAUGGAGGCUUCUUUCAUCGUCUAGAGGCCCAGAUCCUUUGAAAUGAACUUUCUUUUUAUUCUCUAUUUUAUUUAUUUUUUAAUUAAAUAAUUAAUUUAAAUUAGGUAUACGUGACAGCAGAAGGCAUCUGGAUUCAACGUACACAAUUGCAGCACAACUGUUCAUUUCUCUUGUUGUACACGUUGUAGCUGUAGUGACUUUGCUUCCUAUGUGCCGUCAGCCAUGUACCUAGGGUCAUGAUGUCCAUCUCAUGACCAAGGUCCACCUUGAAAGUAGGCACACUCCAUCUCCCCCAGCAGCCCACGGCAGACUCAGAGCCGAUUGCCUGGCCUUGCUCUAUUUCUAUGGGACUCAAAGCAUUAAGCUGCAGGACCCUCUGAGGGUGGCAGGUGCCGGCCAAGGAGGCUCAGGACUUUGCCAGGUCACCCUUGCUAUGUGCUGAUGAAUUGAAAUAUCAGCAUUUUUCUUGGAAAUGGUGGUAAAAACCCAGCACCUUGGCUGGCUCUUCUGUAGAAGGUGUGAAUGUUCUUCUGUGAACGGGGCUUAGCGUGGGGCCUCUCUGAAUGCUCUCACAUGUUGGGUAUCAAGAAUUUGAAGGGAAGUGGUUUUGUGGGUGUUUUUUUUUUUUUCCUUUUCUUUUUAACAUUUGAGUUUGGAGUUUGCUGUUUUGAAAUCUGGUUGCCUCUCGAGAUCUUCUGGAUGAAAGGUCACAGGUUCUGAACCAUUUGAAGCCGUGUAAGUCGUGAGUCCAUGCUGGUGACCAAUCAGCGCUGGUGACUCUGAUCAAGGUGUGAAGUGAGUCAUGAAAGGUCAUUAAACUCCCCAGAGGGUUACGUCCAUCAGGUGGGAGGACACAGCGCC
rnacentral:lncRNA from 1 species